UACGUAGGGUGCAAGCGUUACUCGGAAUCAUUGGGCGUAAAGCGUAUGUAGGCGGUUUCGUAAGUCUGAUGUGAAAGCCCUGGACUCAAUCCAGGAAGUGCAUUGGAUACUGCGAGACUAGAGUAUAGGAGAGGUGGACGGAAUUCCUGGUGUAGAGGUGAAAUUCGUAGAUAUCAGGAGGAACAACAGAGGCGAAGGCGGUUCACUGGACUAUAACUGACGCUGAGAUACGAAAGUGUGGGGAGCAAACAGG
rnacentral:rRNA from 1 species